AAUUUUGGACAAUGGGCGCAAGCCUGAUCCAGCCAUGCCGCGAGAGUGAAGUAUAAAAUCGGGAUGAAAAGAACUUUCGGACGAAAAGAAAUCGCGCAGGCUAAUACCCUGCGAGGAUGACGGUCACGUCAUAAGAAGCUCCCGCUAACUACGUGCCAGCAGCCGCGGUAAUACGUAGGGUGCGCGCGUUAAUCGGAAUUCUUGGGCGUAAAGCGUGCGCAGGCGGUUGAUUAAGACAGGCGUGAAAUCCCCGGGCUUAACCUGGGAACUGCGCUUGUGACUGGUCAGCUAGAGUACGGCAGAGGGGGGUGGAAUUCCACGUGUAGCAGUGAAAUGCGUAGAGAUGUGGAGGAACACCGAUGGCGAAGGCAGCCCCCUGGGCCGAUACUGACGCUCAUGCACGAAAGCGUGGGUAGCAAACAGG
rnacentral:rRNA from 1 species